GGAAAUUUUCUUGUUUCUACCUGUGAUCCUUCCCUGAUAUGGUAGGGUACAACGGUGAAAUUUUGUUGGAAUUCAUGGGUGGGGGGGGAUCUACCAAAGGAUCCUGAGUUGCUUGUGACUUUGUCUCUCCCCAAUUACUCCCAGAAUGUAAGGACUUAACCCCUCUGUGGGGACGGAGGAAGAGGUUGUCUCUAAUUCAGAGUAUAUGGCAAGAACAACAUAGCAUCUCAUUUAACUUUCUUAUUCUCAGAGUACAACACAGAAGAGGAAAAAUGGCCAUUGUCCAUCUAGAAGGGAAAUUUGAGAAAUCAGGGAUGUUUAAUGAUGUUGCUUUUGACUUCUCUAAGGUAAGAGUGGAAACACUUCGCCUCUGCUCAGAGGGACUUAUACAGAGAUUAUCUUUGUAAAGUAUAGUAACUCAGUGUCACUUGGGAAUUCAUUUCUGCCCUUUGUAUCUCAAUGCCUAC
rnacentral:lncRNA from 1 species